rnacentral:rRNA from 1 species
UGGGGAAUUUUGGACAAUGGGCGCAAGCCUGAUCCAGCCAUGCCGCGUGCGGGAAGAAGGCCUUCGGGUUGUAAACCGCUUUUGUCAGGGAAGAAAUCUUCUGAGUUAAUACCUCGGGAGGAUGACGGUACCUGAAGAAUAAGCACCGGCUAACUACGUGCCAGCAGCCGCGGUAAUACGUAGGGUGCAAGCGUUAAUCGGAAUUACUGGGCGUAAAGCGUGCGCAGGCGGUUUUGUAAGACAGAGGUGAAAUCCCCGGGCUCAACCUGGGAACUGCCUUUGUGACUGCAAGGCUUGAGUGCGGCAGAGGGGGGAUGGAAUUCCGCGUGUAGCAGUGAAAUGUGUAGAUAUGCGGAGGAACACCGAUGGCGAAGGCAAUCCCCUGGGCCUGCACUGACGCUCAUGCACGAAAGCGUGGGGAGCAAACAGGAUUAGAUAGCCCUGGUAGUCCACGCCCUAAAACGAUGUCAACUGGUUGUUGGGAAGGUUCCUUCUCAGUAACGUAGCUAACGCGUGAAGUUGACCG